GGGGGGGAGAGAAGAUGGCCGCCGGUUUGGGCAAACAGAAACCCUGCAAGCCACGCAGGUAUUCCCGACAGCGGUGAAGGUUGGUGGCGGCGCAUCUCAUUGCCAAUCAGUGAUGAACUGGGCAUGGGCAGGAUUCUGGGCAGGACUUAUGUAGACUUCAAAGCCAGCUACUCCGACAGCGUAUCGGAAUAGCCCAUCAGUGGAUGAUGUGGAGAAACCUUGGGAUGAAUGGAAGCUCAUGAAAGCAAGGCAUGUGGAGCUACUGGGAGAGAAAAGGCAAAGUGGGUAUGAACGUCAGUAGACUUCCCAUGACAUUGCUACAAGAUGCUCUCUCCCUGCCCCCCAAAAGGCAAUCACCUGCUAAACACGAGCAACGGGGCAGCAUCUGGUCUCUGAGCGGUAGUCCCCAAGUUCUCAAGUUGGCCAGGAUCAGCUAGAAAACGGCUCAAAGGGGAGUUUGGCAGAUGUCUCUGAAAUGGAUUUCAGCAGCUGCUAAACAUUGUUGUCAACAAAGCUGAGCUGUGGUCUUUUAAAAAAAAGUGCAGUGGGAUUGCUGAAAAGGGCACUGUUGGAAAACAGUGUUUUUGCCUUACAGUUCCCGGAUGUUGUUGCCUUACAAUUCCCACCGCGUGUGGCCAGUGUUGAAGGACAAUAGAAAUUGUUGUCAAGUAACUUUAUGGAAGUCCACUGGCUGCUUGAUCCUGCUCUAGGCGGCUCAAAGCUUCAGCGGAGAACCCUGCUCCGUAACAUCUUUGUGUAGCAGAAAGAAAGAGUGUGUGUUUACUAUGCGACCAGUACUUGCAAUGUCCUCCUUCAUUUCUUAGAUGUUGUGAUGAGCUUGCUUAGGACCUGUUGGGUUGUGUGGGGUCUUGAAAAGGGCCUCUGGACAACUAGAGAACAUGCUUUUGACCUUCCCAAAGCAGGGUUUCCUUUUCUGUGCUUCUGCAGCUCUCGAUGCUCCCGCUAGACUUGUUCACGGAUUCCUUCUGGACUUCCUUCUUUUGGACUCAAACUUCGGUCACAAGUCAAAGACCUUCCUCUUCAGCUAUGUUUUCCAGCAAUAAAGAUUGUGGUACACUCGAAGAAACGCAGCUCAGCAUCUAUGCCACCUCCUCCACUGCCAUGAUGGGGACACCAGCAUCUCACAAGGGUGAGGAUGAAUUUCUGCCCCAAGAUUCAGCAAUGAGCUUCAGAGAUCAUUCUGGAUUUGAAAGCUUGGCUGCGUUCCACUCCACGUCCCAUCGGAUUGGCAGAACCUUCGAGCUGAGCCCACUAGGACGAGUGGAGGCGAACAGGAAUACGAGACAGAAGACCGGAACAAAGAAUGGGAAGAUUUACAUCCCUCCUGAUCAUUUUUCCCCCCAAGCAGUUCAUGUUCUUUCCCAGCAGUGCCUUGCUGAAUGUCCCCCUUCUGUCCUCAAGCUACUCACCUG